GAUGAACGCUAGCUACAGGCUUAACACAUGCAAGUCGAGGGGCAGCGCAGUGUAGCAAUACAUGGGCGGCGACCGGCGCACGGGUGCGUAACGCGUAUCCAACCUUCCCGUUACUCAGGGAUAGCCUUCCGAAAGGGAGAUUAAUACCUGAUGGUGUUGAAAUUCCGCAUGUUAUUUCAACUAAAGAUUUAUCGGUAACGGAUGGGGAUGCGUGACAUUAGAUAGUAGGCGGGGUAACGGCCCACCUAGUCUACGAUGUCUAGGGGUUCUGAGAGGAAGGUCCCCCACACUGGAACUGAGACACGGUCCAGACUCCUACGGGAGGCAGCAGUGAGGAAUAUUGGUCAAUGGUCGGAAGACUGAACCAGCCAAGUAGCGUGAAGGAUGAAGGUUCUAUGGAUUGUAAACUUCUUUAUACGGGAAUAAAACCUCCCACGUGUGGGAGCUUGUAUGUACCGUAUGAAUAAGCAUCGGCUAACUCCGUG
rnacentral:rRNA from 1 species